UACGGGGGGGGCAAGCGUUGUUCGGAAUUACUGGGCGUAAAGCGUGCGCAGGCGGCUUCCUAAGUCAGAUGUGAAAUCCCCGGGCUUAACCUGGGAACUGCAUCUGUGACUGCAUAGCUAGAGUACGGUAGAGGGGGAUGGAAUUCCGCGUGUAGCAGUGAAAUGCGUAGAUAUGCGGAGGAACACCGAUGGCGAAGGCAAUCCCCUGGACCUGUACUGACGCUCAUGCACGAAAGCGUGGGGAGCAAACAGG
rnacentral:rRNA from 1 species